rnacentral:rRNA from 1 species
CCUACGGGUGGCAGCAGUGGGGAAUAUUGCACAAUGGGGGAAACUCUGAUGCAGCAACGCCGCGUGAGUGAAGAAGUAUUUCGGUAUGUAAAGCUCUAUCAGCAGGGAAGAAGAUGUCGGUACCUGAUUUAGUAGCUCUGGCUAAAUACGUGACAGCAGCCGCGGUAAUACGUAGGGGGCAAGCGUUAUCCGGAUUUACUGGGUGUAAAGGGAGCGCAGACGGCAGUGCAAGUCUGGAGUGAAAGCCCGGGGCCCAACCCCAGAACUGCCCUGGAAACUGUGCGGCUAGAGUACUGGAGGGGCAGGCGGAAUUCCUAGUGUAGCGGUGAAAUGCGUAGAUAUUAGGAGGAACACCAGUGGCGAAGGCAGCCUACUGGACAGUAACUGACGUUGAGGCUCGAAAGCGUGGGGAGCAAACAGGAUUAGAUACCCGAGUAGUC